rnacentral:tRNA from 1 species
CGGGGUGUAGCGCAGCCUGGUAGCGCAUCUGCUUUGGGAGCAGAGGGUCGGCGGUUCNAAUCCGUCCACCCCGACCA